rnacentral:rRNA from 1 species
UACGUAGGGGGCAAGCGUUGUCCGGAUUUAUUGGGCGUAAAGAGCGUGUAGGCGGCUUUGCAAGUCCGUUGUGAAAACUCGAGGCUCAACCUCGAGACGCCGGUGGAAACUGCAAAGCUAGAGUCCGGAAGAGGAGAGUGGAAUUCCUGGUGUAGCGGUGAAAUGCGCAGAUAUCAGGAAGAACACCCGUGGCGAAGGCGGUUCUCUGGGACGGUACUGACGCUGAGACGCGAAGCGUGGGGAGCGAACAGG